UUGAAAGGGAAACGAUUGAAGUCAGUCAUGUUGGUAGGGAAUCAACUUGAUGGUUUGCGGGUUUACUCGUGUUCUUUCGAGUGCACUUCCUUACUUGCUAGUUAGCAUCAAUUUUGGUUAUCAUAUAAAAAUUGAGGGAAGGUGGCUUUUCUUCGGAAAAGUGUUAUAGACCUUGAUUAAUGUGCGUGACCGGGAUUGAGGAUUGCAGCGGAUACCCUUAAGGGCUAGUCACCUGGCUUCUGAUGGUUACCCCGUCUUCGAUAGCUUGCUAACGUUGAUGGGAUUUAAUUGUCUAGAUGUUGGACUGAUCAUAAAUUCGUUAAGGAUGUUGACGUA
rnacentral:rRNA from 1 species